rnacentral:rRNA from 1 species
CCUACGGGAGGCUGCAGUGGGGAAUAUUGGACAAUGGGCGAAAGCCUGAUCCAGCCAUGCCGCGUGUGUGAAGAAGGCCCUCGGGUUGUAAAGCACUUUCAGUGGGGAAGAAAGCCUUGGGGCUAAUACCCUCGAGGAAGGACAUCACCCACAGAAGAAGCACCGGCUAACUCCGUGCCAGCAGCCGCGGUAAUACGGAGGGUGCGAGCGUUAAUCGGAAUUACUGGGCGUAAAGCGCGCGUAGGCGGUCUGAUAAGCCGGUUGUGAAAGCCCCGGGCUCAACCUGGGAACGGCAUCCGGAACUGUCAGGCUAGAGUGCAGGAGAGGAAGGUAGAAUUCCCGGUGUAGCGGUGAAAUGCGUAGAGAUCGGGAGGAAUACCAGUGGCGAAGGCGGCCUUCUGGACUGACACUGACGCUGAGGUGCGAAAGCGUGGGUAGCAAACAGGAUUAGAUACCCCGGUAGUC